UACGGAGGGUGCGAGCGUUGUCCGGAAUCAUUGGGCGUAAAGGGCGCGUAGGUGGCCCGGUCAGCGUGCGGUGAAAGCUCGGGGCUCAACCCCGAGUCGGCCGUGCGAACUGCUGGGCUUGAGCACUGUAGAGGCAGGCGGAAUUCCGGGUGUAGCGGUGGAAUGCGUAGAGAUCCGGAAGGACACCGGUGGCGAAGGCGGCCUGCUGGGCAGUGGCUGACACUGAGGCGCGACAGCGUGGGGAGCAAACAGG
rnacentral:rRNA from 1 species